rnacentral:rRNA from 1 species
UACAGAGGGGGCAAGCGUUAUUCGGAAUCAUUGGGCGUAAAGCGCGUGUAGGCGGCUAGAUAAGUCUGCUCUGAAAGCCCGGGGCUCAACCCCGGGAGGCGGGUGGAUACUGUCUAGCUCGAGUCCGGAAGAGGAGUGUGGAAUUCCUGGUGUAGCGGUGAAAUGCGCAGAUAUCAGGAGGAACACCAAUGGCGAAGGCAGCACUCUGGGACGUGACUGACGCUGAGACGCGAAAGCGUGGGGAGCAAACAGG